AUACCAUGGUGUGGGUAUUUUCUUAACAUUUAGUUUAAUCUUUCUCAUGCUUGAUAUAUAGAUUCAGUAGCUGUCUGCAAAAAAUUAUUGAUUUCUUGUUUCAAUUU